UACAGAGGAGCCAAGCGUUGUCCGGAUUGACUGGGCGUAAAGCGCACGCAGGCGGACGCGCGCGUGGGGUGUGAAAUCUGGCCGCUUAACGGCCAGGCGCCAUCCCAUACGGCGCGUCUGGAGUGAUGCAGAGGUCGAUGGAAUUGCCGGUGUAGUGGUGAAAUGCGUAGAGAUCGGCAGGAACACCCAGGGGGAAACCAGUCGACUGGGCAUCUACUGACGCUGAGGUGCGAAAGCGUGGGGAUCAAACAGG
rnacentral:rRNA from 1 species